UCAAAUAAAAGGCAGAUGUGAUUCCAUGAUCAUGAAAAUGGUUUCCUCAGGAUGAGGUUUAUCCAUUGCAUUCCAGAUGGGCCAAUCCCUGCAAUAUUCCCAAAUGUAGGAAACUUAACUGCAUAAUUUGUGGUAGUGGGGAACUGCAUCCAUGCUGUCCCCUG